ensembl:lncRNA SOX2-OT SOX2 overlapping transcript
UAUUUCUGUUUGGAAAAGUAAUGGAGUCCAGUCAACUUCAUUGAUCGCCAAGGACUGUCAAAAUUAUAAAACUUGCUGUGGAGCUCUGACAUGCCAGAAGCCGCUAGAAAAAGAAGUUUGACAUUCAGAAACUUAUCAAGAGGUUCUACUCUUUGGAUAGAGACCAAAAUCAUACUUUGAAAAAGAAAGCCUGACAGGUUUCUUCGGAAAAGUGGCCAUCCAUGGAAUGAAUGAAAUGUUCUCUUUCUAUUCCAGGGAUUGCAGUGGCAAAGCUAGGCUAGGUCUUGGAGGCUGGUGUAAGGCGAUGUGGGUGAAGGCAGGAGGCUGAUGGAAAGACUGGGGGGAAGAAAAGCCGAAAUGGAUUCACGGUGCCUUGGAUGAAGGACGAGAGGGGAACUGCAAGCUCCUUCAACUGGUUCUGUCCGGUGAGAAGUGAUCAAGCUUGGGCUGACAAGAGGCUCAGGGAGCCCUCACGUUCUUUCGCUUUUUUACCUGCCAAUCAAACUGCUACAAGACAACACCCUGAUCUGGCAUGGACAUCGCGGGUCCAAGCCUGUAGCCCCAAAUCGGAUAAUCUCUGCAGCUGAUAACAAGCAAAAGAGAAGCCAGGCAACAGCCAUAUUAAAGAAGAAAACAAUCAACUCUGAGAUCCAACUUAGAAAUAAUGUUUCAUUCAAGAUAAGGCUCGUGGCUUAGGAGAUUGUGACCUGGCUUGCAUCAUUCUAAGACUUCUAUCGUCUGUUUUCAAAACCCAAGGAGGACCUCCUUUUCUGUGUGAUAGUUCCUCAUGCUUUGCCAGCCACUGGGUCUUUAAGGAAGCUUGCCAAGAGUUCCCGGCUGGGAAGGACAGUUCGAGUUCAUCAUAGACAAUGAGCUGGCACCACAGUUUAAGUGACUCACCAACCUGGUUGCCCACUUCAAAAUGUCAAGAACCACACUAUCUAAUUGAAAGAACUGUGUUUUAGCAAAGUGUAAUUGGAUCGCCUGGCAAGAUCAUCUCAAACUAUGUCUCUGACCUUGCCUUUCAGUGGCUAUUUUGAGCACAAGAGGAGAAAGGAAAUGAUUCCUGAAUUAUAUCUUGUUUUUAAAAAUUAAGAUUAAUUAAUACUUGGUUUUAUGUUCAUUCCAUUGUAGGAACUUAGUGAUUAUUACAAAACAGUCAAAAUAGGUCAUAGCAAAAUGAACGUUUAAGAUUAGGUUAAAACAUUCCUCUGAAAUUUUAGUAUUCACUUUUGAAGUGUCAAUUACUAUAUUUCUGUAAUUUCUCAUUUUUUUCUUGGCUUAGAGUCAAGAUGAAAAAUGAUAUUUGAAUCAAAGACAUUGUUUUGUUAUAUAGCCACUCCUUUCUAAAAUGCAAAUCCACCCUCCCCUCACCAAUGCUUUAUUCUUUGUGCGCGCACACACACACACACACACACACACACACACACACACACACAGACAUACACAGAACCAGCACCCAAAUGGUAGAGGAGGUCCUUCCAAGACUUCUAGGACCUGGAUCAUGUAAGCAGUAGAUGAGAAAAUGAAGUAAGAGAUAUAGAGUAAUAACAAUAAAAGUCAAUGAUUUCAUUUUACAAAAAAGUCAUUGUGUAGUACUCAGAUAUUUUUAAGAGCAAGUAUUAUUAUGACUAAAGUAUAUUAUACUUCUAAAUUAUUAUGAUUCUCAUCUAAUUUCAAGCCACACAUAGGCGCCAUUUGAAAGCAUUUUGUGUUACAACCUAUCAACAAAAAUCAACUAAUAGUUUUAUAACGUGCAUAGGUUUACCCCAUGGGGAAUUAAAAUUUUUAUCUGCAAGUAUUUCUGUUGUUGUGAGACUUUAGGACAAGACAACAUUUGGUGUUAACAUAGAAGAAUAUUCUAUGGCUUUUUUAGCUUUAAAGUUCAUUACUCUAAAAUAAAGUACACGUGGUAUUUUUUUCUUCCUAGUGUUCUCUUAUUAUAUGUAGAGUAUUUUCGGUUGUUGUUUUUAACGUAUACAUUAUUUUUAUUAAGUCAUUUCAUAAAAGAUAAGAUAUAUACUAAUAGACCCUUGGUUUUCUCCUAAUUUAAUUAUUUCAAGUCAAGCAAAAUUGGGCAAUUUUCUUUCAGGAAAAAAAAAAUAUUGAGCAUGAUUUUGAGGUAAAACUGAUUAUUUACAGCAUCUUUUCUCUAAUAGGCUAACAUUUAUGAUGGAUCUUAUUUCAAAGUUGAUUAUUCUCAAAGAAAAGUGGAGAUAUUAGAAUUUCCGAGUAAAUUGCAUUGUUUUAAAAAGUACUUUAAUGCAUUGUUCACAUUGUUGCCAGCUAUUGACCAAAAAAGAGAAGAAGAAAAAAGAAAUAAAAAAAGCAGUAUCUGCUCCAAACGUCAAGUUUUGCAGUUUGAAAGACUUGUACAUUAUAAUUGUUUUUUUCUUUUUUGGAAAGCAGUAGUAAUUAAUACCAAAGGCAUAGACAAUUUAGGGCCAUAACCUCCCUUCCCCCCUCUCCACCUUUUUUUUUUUUUUUUUUUUUUUUUAACUUUAACCAUGAUAGGCAUCUCUGCAAGGUAGGUUUUAACAUAUUUUUUUCCUAAUUUUUUUCCCUCCAUUCAGUAAGAAGGAUAAGCUUUUAGAGUACCCAGUCACCGUGGUAACUGCCAAAAAAAUUCUCCUGAAGUUUGAAGAGGUCAGCUAGCAGGGUCAACAACCCUGGCCUCUCUCUGAGCUCGGUCUAGCAUGCCCCAGCCUGCGGUUGGAGUGUCAGGCCAGAUCUGACCCUGGGAGGUGGACCAUUCUGGCUCUGAUAUAAAUUUUUCGAGUCAGUUCAUGGCCUGGACUCUCCAGGUGGCCUCCAAAAUCGAUUUUGACCCCCUGACCCUGUCUCACGGAGGCAUAGCAUCCACCCUAAGUAAGGAUUUAGCCAGGAAUGACAGCUUUCCACUGAGUGUUAUUGGGGACAGUAUAAACAGUUUGGAAAGCAAGUAAGGAGGUGUGAGGGCUAGCAAUCAUUAAAAGCACAUUAAAAAACAAUUUUUAAAAAUCUUUAUUAGAGAAAGUUGUAAAUGCAUAUCUGUUACAGAAUUCCUGUGAUUUGUAGAGUUUUCUAGUCAGUUUUGAAUAUAAAUAGGUCACAUAUCUUUAUCUUUUUGCAUACUUUGUUACAAAUAUGCAAAUAAGAUAGGCAUACUUGCUACAAAAUAGGUACAGCAGGAAUGUAAUAUGUUCAGAAAAGGCAAACUGGUUAUUAAAACACAUUAACAGGUAAGGAGUUUCUAAUAUUUUAAAUACUAAAAUUUUACAUGUGUAUUUUGAAGUUUUUAAAAUGGAAAAAUAAAGAACCUUUAAAAAACCCAACAGUGUGGAAUAAAGAUAAACUUGUUGCACUCAAGGUACAUUUCUACUUUGUAAAGCAAGAAGCCAAUACACUCAGUUGGAUAAAAAUGAGAGAAAAAUUGUAAAUAUAGAGAGUUACAGCUUAUAGAGCUGAAGAGGAAUAAAACAAAAAAAAGUGUCUCUGAAUAACUUUAUGUAUUUUCAACAGUUUAAGAUAUCAGAAACUUGGAAAAUAAAUAUGAUAUAUAUAUAAAUCAUCAGUGAUUAUUUCCUUUUCAUUCCCCCCCGCCCCCAGGAUGCCACCGUGAGUGUUUGAUUUUCUCUAGGAAAGUAGAAUUCUCUUUGAGAGUUCUAGCCUGUGAACUCAGUAUGUAAAUGUGGCCAUCAAGAAGACAGAACUGCCAAGAGGAAAGAUUAUGAAUGUUUUUCUUCCUUAAAACCAUUCACAGUGUUUCUUCUUCCAGUGCUUUACUCAGACUUCUCCCCUUUUCCCAGCUCUGUUGAAAAUGGCUUCAAAAGCAACACUGCAGUGGCUAAACCAAUUGUACUGUGAAGUUGUUGAGAUGCCAUUUCAUCUGAAUCCUUCGUAAAAAUUAGAUUUUUAAGUAGGGGUGAAUAUCCUUUUGGGAGAGGGAAUGGGAGGGUAGAAGAAGGGGGGAAAGGACAGAGCA